CCGGGCGCGAGGUGCGGCAGUGUUCGGCGACGCUGGCGUCGGCGUUCAUCCAGCUCAGCUUUAGCGGUUUCGGUGCGUAUUCGGGCGCCGGAUCCA
rnacentral:tRNA from 1 species